rnacentral:rRNA from 1 species
AUUGAACGCUGGCGGCAGGCCUAACACAUGCAAGUCGAGCGAGCGGCGGACGGGUGAGUAAUGUAUGGGGACCUGCCUGAUGGAGGGGGAUAACUACUGGAAACGGUAGCAAAAACCGCAUAGCAGCAGAUGAUCCCAUGUGGGAUUAUGUAGUAGGUGAGGUAACGGCUCACCUAGGCGACGAUCCCUAGCUGGUCUGAGAGGGUGAACAGCCACACUGGAACUGAGACACGGCCCAGACUCCGACGGGAGGCAGCAGUAGGGAAUCUUGCACAAUGGGCGAAAGCCUGAUGCAGCCAUGCCGCGUGUAUGAAGAAGGCCUUCGGGUUGUAAAGUACUUUCAGUCGGGAGGCGUUACCUACAGAAGAAGCACCGGCUAACUCCGUGCCAGCAGCCGCGGUAAUUC